CUCAGCCUCCUGAGUAGCUGGGAUUACAGGUGCCCACCACCAUGCACGGCUGAAUUGCUGCUGUCUGUUGAGUGCUCACUGUGCAUGGACUUCUGUGCAUUUCCCUGUCAUUCCUCACAACCCUAGGUGGCAACAUUGACAUUCUUCUUCCCAUUUCAUAGAUGCAGAAACUGAGGCUUAAAGAGUUUUUGGCCUAAGGUCACCCACCUAGUGAGUGGCUGAGCUCACCCACAGGCCCCUCUGUCCUGAUAUAGGGAGUCUAUAACCAGCACCCAACACUGUCUCCAGCACCCCACCCUGCCCACUCACCAGCCAUCCACCAAGGGCUGGCUCUGUGCUUGUCUCUCUGUAGGGGUGGGGCAUGAGAACUGACCCCAUGCAGUCCCCACCCAGAGGUGCUUGCCCUGUGCACGCAGAUGCAGACCAGCAGGGCAUUUGCAGAAAAGCAGUUGUUCUCUUAAUGAGGGGUGUUUGGGCAACUCCCUCCUUCCCUCCCUCCCUUGCUCUUUUCUUCCCUUCCUUCUUCCCUCCCUGUUUUUCUUUAGUCUCUCCCUUCCCUCUCUCCUCUCCCACCCCCUCCCUGCUCUUCUUUCCAUCUCUCCCUGCAGUUUUUCUUUUGCUGACACCUCUUUCUGAAAAAUCCUGGGUGUCUGGCUGUGGGGAGCUGCAGGAAAGCCCAGAUGAGGUCUCCUUAGUCUUACCUUGUGGCUGGCAGCGAGGACUUGACCUAGAGCCUCUGACCUUCCACCUCCCUGGGCUCUGAGCUCCGGGGUCCCGUGGUCCUCCAAGGCUGUGGGAACCCGUGGUCCCCUCCCUUGCCUUUCCUCUCUUCGCUGACAGAACAAGGGGCCGGCAGAGGACAUGUCAGGUUCAUCUCAGAGACCUGGGGAAAGACGGGCUCAGCACGAUCUGCUUCUGGGGUGACACGUCUCCUUCACUCACAUAUUCGAGCAUUCACUCGUUCACAGACUGGUCAGAGGUCUGCUGUAUGCCAGGCAAAUGUCCUAGGCACCGACAAGCAAAAUGGACAUAGUCCCUGUCCUCUUGGGUGGAAACCCAAUAAAGACAUAAGUGAAAAGCAGUAAAGCGCCACUCCCCGGGAGACACGCGUAAGUGCCCAGAGCAACGUCAUUUGAGAGGUAAAAACCUGGAGGACCUAACCUCUCAGCAGGAGUGGAUGGAGGAAUUAUUUUGACAAAACCUAUGGGUAUGCAGAUUUAAAGAAAUUUUGUUCUCAUUCUGUAAGCUUGAAAUGUUUCAUUGCAAAAAAGUAUUCUGGAAGUGUGUAUCUAGCAGAGGAAAUUACAUGCAAAGGCCCUGAGGCAGGAAAUAACUUCCAGUGAGGAAGCAAGUGAUGGCCUCACCACUGUACUUCCGGUAUCUCUGCUCACAGCCCUCCCUGAGACUGUGGAAAGGCCCCGUGUUGAGCCUUUGGAAGGCCUCCCUGGGAAUCCUGGGUGUCAGCUGGAGGACUGUGUGAUGGUGAGGGAGUCGAACCACUGGGGCAGUGCCCGCCUGGGCUGGAUUUGGGGGAGGGGGGAGCCUUUUGGGUGAGUCAGCCCUCUCUGGUUGGAAACAGCAGAGUCUAGUUGAGGCUCUGCCAAGGACCUGUGAUGAUUCUUGUCGCCUUUUGUGGAGAAAUUUGCCCGCUAACAGGCCAUCUGUGUGAGGAGCAGGAAGAGGAUUCCAGGAAGAGGGAGCAGCCAGAGCAGAGAAAAUGAGACCAGCUGUACCUCGAGGGCCCAAUCCAGCCACUGCCUGUUUUUUUAAAUAAAGUUUUAUGGGAAUA